UCGCUCUUUCUCCUUCAACAAUCUCUCUCUGCUCUAGAGGCUUGAGCGCAGACAUGGAUUAGAACUUUAGUUUGAACCUCUAAUGGAGCUUUGAAGUGUGUGGUAGAGGAAAAUUUUGGAUAAUUUUUGCAGAGUAUUUUUUGUAUCUUCUGCUUUUUCUGUAACUCGGUUUUGGCUGAUUUUAUAAAUGUAGAUGUGUGAAAAAUUAGGGUAGAAUUAAGAGGGAAUUAGGAUGAGGUUUGGGGGGACAAACAAUUGAUAUUGGAGGGAAUUGAUUGAUGAUCCAUGUGAGCAUUUUUUUGCAAUCCAAGUGAAGUUUUAUUGUGAACUAUUGAUUAGAUGCUUGAUGAAAUUUUAAUGUAAUUCUAUUUGAAAAUUUUGUUAGUUGUAAUGUGAGUUUAGAGGUUUUAGUUUCAUUGGAUUUUGUUUGUGAAGUUUGAAUGAAAUGAAUAUGGUGAAUUUAUUAUGAA